CUCGGAUGAUGAUCAAAGGAUUGUUCCUUACAAAUGUUCAGAUACCACAGAGCUGGGAGAGUUAAUGAACGCCUUGAAUGAUUGCAUCAGAUACAAAGAAUUGGUACAAUAGAUCAAGAUGAAAUUUGAUGGAAUGAAGGAACAGGGCCCUUGAGGAGUGGGCCAAAAGCUAUACUUCCUCCCAGCUGGAGAGCUGCACUUAUUUCCUUCUACCGACAACAGAGGAAGCUGGAGAUUCAUGGAGACUUUUCUUACAAACUCUGAAUGAAAAUGAUUUUCAACUUCGAUUCUAUUCCCCAGAGAAUAUCAGUUAAAUAUGAAAUAGACUGAAGGGUCUCUAGGAAUUGACCAUCACAACAUCAUUUCUCAGGAACUUACUGAAGGAGAUGCUCCACCACAACGAGAGAGUAAAUAACAAAAAAAGGAAGACAUGGCACUUGGGAAACAGGAAAUCCCAUGGGAGACGGAGGUGAAGGGAAUCCUCAAGGACAAAAACAUAAACCUUUAACAAGUGGAUCUGAAACUAGAGAGCUGGGCAGGAAACACUAUCCCCAUGCUGCCCUGGGCUUGCUCGAGGACUCUAGCCAGAUGGCAUGCUCAGCACUCAGGCCACUCUGGUCUCUGAACUGCAGAUGAAAAUCCUAUUUCCUUUCCAGAGCUGGACAAUCCCUUGAAGCUAGACUGCAGAGAAAGCUACUGAAGGUGUAACAGAGAGCUGACAAUUCGAGGACUGUCCCCACCAGAUCUUGAUGUGGAGUCCAGACUCAGAGGCGGUAUUUGGAAGAUAAUACUCAGUGGGUGCUGCUGUUACAUCCCCCCUUCCUAUCUCGAGGAAAGGUCAAUCCACAGAGGUCACUGAUCAGCUGAGAAUACAGCCAAAAUGUGUGUAAAAGUCCGGAGAGGGUGUUCAUAUCAGUAGAUAGGCUCUCCUCCAUACGGACACUAAGGUGUCAGGACUUCGUCAUCUUCAACCCAUGGCUCCAAGGGCUUGAAGCAGACGUCAUAUCGACUACCAGAACUCACAGGAUCCAGCAUAUUGGAAUCAAAUUUUUUUGAAAGAAAAGACAUCUGUUUAUGGUUUGUAGUUUUUGUGCUUUGUGUAAGGACUUCUUCUCUACCCUGAAAUGAUGAAGAUAUUCUGAAAAUCUGGAGGUUUUGCCUUGCUAGUAAGAUCAUUAAGAACGUACUUUUGUUUACAGUGUGAGGUAGGGAUCUCAUUUUUAAAAAUAUAGAAAAGAGAGUGCUAAUUAUCUCAGCACCAUUAAUUAAACAGAUCAUCUUUGAUUAAUUUGCAUUGACUUAUCUGUCAUUUGUAUGUAUGGUUCUGUUUCUGAACCUACUAUUUUCUUUCACUAGAUUAUUGAAUGACAUAAUAGACCUUGCAGGUCUAUGCGGUUCUGUUUUGGAACCUGCUUUUUUUGUUCAUUAGAUUAUAGACCAAUCACUGUACCAAUACCACAUUCUUACAAUAUGAAGCUUUUGAUAUCAAAAGGGAAAAUUUUCCCUCCCUAUGCUUCUCCAGAAUUGUCUUGGUCAUUCUUGGCCUCUUCCAAUUCCUCAUGAAUUUUGGAAUCACUUUGUCAGGGUCUAUGAAAGAUCCUAUAUUAUAAUUUGGAGUAAAUUGUUUUGGGGUCAUGGAAUCUUCUCAUCCAUGAACAUGAUGUAUCUCUCCAUUUAUUUAGGCUUUUCUCUGUAUUUCAAUAAGGCUUUAUAAUUUUCACCACAGAUACUAUGAGUUUUUAUUCAAGUUCUAAGAUUGGUUGCUACUAUGAAUGAGACCUUUAAGAAUUUAUAAUAUCUAAUGGGCUAUGGCUUCUUUGUAUAUUGACCUUUUAUUCAACAAUGCUGCUAAGCUCUCUUAUUUGUUCUAUUAAUUCAUUAGAUUUGCUUGAAUUUCUUAGCAGAUAACUACAUCAUCAAUAAAUCAUAUUUUCUUGUUUUUUUUGACCCUUAUAGCUUCUCAUUUGUGUGUGUGUGUGUGUGUUAUUGGCAAGGGGCUUCAGUACAAUGCUGAGUAGAAAUGGUAAAGAUGGUAAAGCUGUCCUUAAUGUUUAAUGAAUUAAGAUUAAGAAUAAUGUUUCUAGAAAUAGGUUAUUGGUAGCAACUCUUUAUUGUAUUUAGGACAUUUCUUCCUUUCCUAGUUUGCUAGGAUUUAAAAAAAAAUAAAUGAAUGGCAAAUUCCUUUGUAUUUUCUAAUAUUAAAUCGUCCUUAUAUUAUGGUGUCAAACUGAUGUGCUUAUGAAGUAUAUAUUUUUAAAACCCAUGCUGAACUGGGUUGAAUAACAUUGUAUUUAAGAAUAAUAUUUUUUAAUGCCUUUUG